GUCUACUAGCCGUUGGAGGACUUGAUCCUUUAGUGGCGCAGCUAACGCGAUAAGUAGACCGCCUGGGGAGUACGGUCGCAAGAUUAAAACUCAAAUGAAUUGACGGGGGCCCGCACAAGCGGUGGAGCAUGUGGUUUAAUUCGAAGCAACGCGAAGAACCUUACCUACUCUUGACAUCCAGUGAACUUUUGAGAGAUCAAUUGGUGCCUUCGGGAACACUGAGACAGAUGCUGCAUGGCUGUCGUCAGCUCGUGUUGUGAAAUGUUGGGUUAAGUCCCGUAACGAGCGCAACCCUUGUCCUUAGUUACCAUCAUUAAGUUGGGGACUCUAAGGAGACUGCCGGUGACAAACCGGAGGAAGGCGGGGACGACGUCAAGUCAUCAUGGCCCUUACGAGUAGGGCUACACACGUGCUACAAUGGCAUGUACAAAGGGUUGCCAAGCCGCGAGGUGGAGCUAAUCCCAUAAAGCAUGUCGUAGUCCGGAUUGGAGUCUGCAACUCGACUCCAUGAAGUCGGAAUCGCUAGUAAUCGUGAAUCAGAAUGUCACGGUAAAUACGUUCCCGGGCCUUGUACACACCGCCCGUCACACCAUGGGAGUGGGUUGCUCCAGAAGUAGAUAGCUUAACCUUCGGGAGGGCGUUUACCACGGAGUGAUUCAUGACUGGGGUG
rnacentral:rRNA from 1 species